rnacentral:rRNA from 1 species
UACAGAGGGGGCAAGCGUUGUUCGGAAUUACUGGGCGUAAAGGGCGCGUAGGCGGCCUGCUAAGUCGGACGUGAAAUCCCCGGGCUCAACCCGGGAACUGCGUCCGAUACUGGUUGGCUUGAAUCCGGGAGAGGGAUGCGGAAUUCCAGGUGUAGCGGUGAAAUGCGUAGAUAUCUGGAGGAACACCGGUGGCGAAGGCGGCAUCCUGGACCGGCAUUGACGCUGAGGCGCGAAAGCGUGGGGAGCAAACAGG